ACCCUACCACCCACACUCAAUAUACCGAUACCCCACCACCCACGCUCAAUAUACAGACACCAUGCCACCCACGCUCAAUAUACAGAUACCCUACCACCCACACUCAAUAUACAGAUACCUUACUAAUGAAUGCAUCAAAUGGAGUUUAGUUGAUACACUCCCUUAGGAGGGGUCACAGCAGGUCAGAAUGUUAUCUACACGGGGAUAAGCAUGGCAAGAUCUUCCACUGGAACUGACUAUGUGUCUGUACCCAUUCUACCAUUCUGUCCCAUUCCCGCCCUUCUGUCCCAUUCCCUCCAUUCUGUCCCAUUCCCGCCCUUCUGUCCCAUUCCUUCCAUUCUGUCCCAUUCCCGCCCUUCUGUCCCAUUCCCUCCAUUCUGUCCCAUUCCCUCCAUUCUGUCACAUUCCUUCAAUUCUGUCCCAUUCCCUCCAUUCUUUCUCAUUACGCCCAAUCUGUCACAUUCCCACCAUUCUGUCCCAUUCCCGCCCUUCUGUCCCAUUCCCACCAUUCUGUCCCAUUCCCGCCCUUCUGUCCCAAUCCCUCCAUUCUGUCCCAUUCCCACCAUUCUGUCACAUUCCUUCCAUUCUGUCCCAUUCCCUCCAUUCUUUCUCAUUAACCCAUUCUGUCACAUUCCCACCAUUCUGUCCCAUUCCCGCCCUCCUGUCCCAUUCCCACCAUUCUGUCCCAUUCCCGCCCUUCUGUCCCAUUCCCUACAUUCUGUCCCAUUCCCGCCCUUCUGUCCCAUUCCCACCAUUCUGUCCCAUUCCCGCCCUUCUGUCACAUUCCCUCCAUUCUGUCCCAUUCCUUCCAUUCUGUCCCAUUCCCGCCCUUCUGUCCCAUUCCCUCCAUUCUGUCCCAUUCCUUCCAUUCUGUCCCAUUCCCUCCAUUCUUUCUCAUUACGCCCAAUCUGUCACAUUCCCACCAUUCUGUCCCAUUCCCACCCUUCUGUCCCAUUCCCACCAUUCUGUCCCAUUCCCGCCCUUCUGUCCCAAUCCCUCCAUUCUAUCCCAUUCCCACCAUUCUGUCACAUUCCUUCCAUUCUGUCCCAUUCCCUCCAUUCUUUCUCAUUACUCCCAUUCUGUCACAUUCCCACCAUUCUGACCCAUUCCCGCCCUUCUGUCCCAUUCCCACCAUUCUGUCCCAUUCCCGCCCUUCUGUCCCAUUCCCUACAUUCUGUCCCAUUCCCUACAUUCUGUCCCAUUCCCGCCCUUCUGUCCCAUUCCCCCCAUUCUGUCCCAUUCCCACCAUUCUGUCCCAUUCCUACCAUUCUGUCCCAUUCCCUCCAUUCUUUCUCAUUCCCCCCAUUCUGUCACAUUCCCACCAUUCUGUCCCAUUCCCGCCCUUCUGUCACAUUCCCACCAUUCUGUCCCAUUCCCACCUUCUGUCCCAUUCCCACCAUUCUGUCCCAUUCCCUCCAUUCUGUCCCAUUCCCUCCAUUCUGUCCCAUUCCCUCCAUUCUGUCUCAUUCCCUCUAUUCUGUCCCCCACGGUAUCCAAUUAAAAUAACAUGUUUUGUUUGGAUACUAUCGUAUCAAUGGACCAAUGGCAGCUCAAUGAAUGUAGAACAGCUCUUGGAUAAUGAAGCAGAAAGGGUACUUCAGAUACUGAGGGAAUAACGUAGGGUCCAACGGCCCAGAUCUGGGACUCAACAUGAGGGAAGUGUAUUCAUAUCAUUAGAGAAGAGGUCUGUUUUAAUACACGCUGUGUGUGUUUGAUUAGAAUCACAGUUCAGGGAGCAAUAUUAGCAGUAUUAAUAGCAGUUUUUCUACAAAGUUUUCAGAUACAGAGUACCCCUGAGAGUUCUGCUGGGGUCGCUUACAAGGCAAUGUGAGAGAGAGAGAGAGAGAGAGAGAGAGAGAGAGAGAGAGAGAGAGAGAGAGAAUUAGACCCAACCAAAUCAUGAGAAAACAAAAAGAUAACUACUUAACA
rnacentral:lncRNA from 1 species